UUUUGACUGCAUCAAUAUCAGCACACAUUAAUUAUCCUUUGCAUGGAUUCCGUGUGUUAUUUGAAACAUCUUCUAUGAAGGCCACAUCAGAAACUCAGUAUUCAGGUAAAUACUGGAGUUAUUUCACCAGAAACAUCCCCACCUCACCUCAAGGCACUUGGCUCCACAGUAAACAGGCAUGGUACUGUUUGCCAGAUAAUCUUCUCCCUGCAGAAGUUUGUUGCUGUAGCAACAUGUUAGAAGAACCAGGAUGCCAAAGUGGCCACGCUGUACGUGCAUGCAAUGGAACAGUGGUUCCAGGAGAAAAAAGUGGAAACAAAAAAGCAAAUCCAUCUGCAGCACUGCUGAAUGAUGAAUGCUGGAGUAUUUCUACAGUUAUAAUACUGUUUAUAUAGUUAAAUCCACAAAGAAUGAGUCUCUUUGUAUAAGCAAGAACAUCAGAAGACCUUACAUAAAUGGGAAUUGGAGUAA